GUCGAACGAAGUAGCAAUACUUAGUGGCAGACGGGUGAGUAACAUGUAGGUAUCUACCCUUUGGCCUGGAAUAACACGAGGAAACUUGUGCUAAUACUGGAUAAGUCUUUACGGAGAAAGCUUUAUGCACCAUAGGAUGAGCCUGCACUUGAUUAGUUUGUUGGUGGGGUAAUGGCCUACCAAGGCUUUGAUCAAUAGCUGAUUUGAGAGGAUGAUCAGCCACAUUGGGACUGAGACACGGCCCAAACUCCUACGGGAGGCAGCAGUAGGGAAUCUUGCACAAUGGAGGAAACUCUGAUGCAGCGAUGCCGCGUGAGUGAAGAAGGCCUUUGGGUUGUAAAGCUCUUUCGUCGGGGAAGAAAAUGACUGUACCCGAAUAAGAAGGUCCGGCUAACUUCGUGCCAGCAGCCGCGGUAAUACGAAGGGACCUAGCGUAGUUCGGAAUUACUGGGCUUAAAGAGUUCGUAGGUGGUUGAAAAAGUUGGUGGUGAAAUCCCAGAGCUUAACUCUGGAACUGCCAUCAAAACUUUUCAGCUAGAGUUUGAUAGAGGAAAGCAGAGUUUCUAGUGUAGAGGUGAAAUUCGUAGAUAUUAGAAAGAAUACCAAUUGCGAAGGCAGCUUUCUGGAUCAUUACUGACACUGAGGAACGAAAGCAUGGGUAGCGAAGAGGAUUAGAUACCCUCGUAGUCCAUGCCGUAAACGAUGUGUGUUAGACGUUGGAAAUUUAUUUUCAGUGUCGCAGCGAAAGCAAUAAACACACCGCCUGGGGAGUACGACCGCAAGGUUAAAACUCAAAUGAAUUGACGGGGACCCGCACAAGUAGUGGAGCAUGUGGUUUAAUUCGAAGAUACGCGCAGAACCUUACCAACACUUGACAUGUUCGUCGCGACUUUAAGAGAUUAAAGUUUUCGGUUCGGCCGGACGAAACACAGGUGCUGCAUGGCUGUCGUCAGCUCGUGUCGUGAGAUGUUGGGUUAA
rnacentral:rRNA from 1 species